rnacentral:rRNA from 1 species
GGGUUGUGAGGUUAAGCGACUAAGCGUACACGGUGGAUGCCCUGGCAGUCAGAGGCGAUGAAGGACGUGCUAAUCUGCGAAAAGCGUCGGUAAGGUGAUAUGAACCGUUAUAACCGGCGAUGUCCGAAUGGGGAAACCCAGUGCAAUUCGUUGCACUAUCGUUAACUGAAUACAUAGGUUAACGAGGCGAACCGGGGAACUGAAACAUCUAAGUACCCCGAGGAAAAGAAAUCAACCGAGAUUCCCCAGUAGCGGCGAGCGAACGGGGAGCAGCCCAGAGUCUGAAUCAGCUUGUGUGUUAGUGGAACGGUCUGGAAAGUCCGACGGUACAGGGUGAUAGUCCCGUACACCAAAAUGCACAGGCUGUGAACUCGAAGAGUAGGGCGGGACACGUGGUAUCCUGUCUGAAUAUGGGGGACCAUCCUCCAAGGCUAAAUACUCCUGACUGACCGAUAGUGAACCAGUACCGUGAGGGAAAGGCGAAAAGAACCCCGGCGAGGGGAGUGAAAAAGAACCUGAAACCGUGUACGUACAAGCAGUGGGAGCACCUUCGGGUGUGACUGCGUACCUUUUGUAUAAUGGGUCAGCGACUUAUAUUCUGUAGCAAGGUUAACCGUAUAGGGGAGCCGCAGGGAAACCGAGUCUUAACUGGGCGUUAAGUUGCAGGGUAUAGACCCGAAACCCGGUGAUCUAGCCAUGGGCAGGUUGAAGGUUGGGUAACACUAACUGGAGGACCGAACCGACUAAUGUUGAAAAAUUAGCGGAUGACUUGUGGCUGGGGGUGAAAGGCCAAUCAAACCGGGAGAUAGCUGGUUCUCCCCGAAAGCUAUUUAGGUAGCGCCUCGUGAACUCAUCUUCGGGGUAGAGCACUGUUUCGGCUAGGGGGUCAUCCCGACUUACCAACCCGAUGCAAACUACGAAUACCGAAGAAUGUUAUCACGGGAGACACACGGCGGGUGCUAACGUCCGUCGUGAAGAGGGAAACAACCCAGACCGCCAGCUAAGGUCCCAAAGUCAUGGUUAAGUGGGAAACGAUGUGGGAAGGCACAGACAGCCGGAUGUUGGCUUAGAAGCAGCCAUCAUUUAAAGAAAGCGUAAUAGCUCACUGGUCGAGUCGGCCUGCGCGGAAGAUGUAACGGGGCUAAACCAUGCACCGAAGCUGCGGCAGCGACACUAUGUGUUGUUGGGUAGGGGAGCGUUCUGUAAGCCUGCGAAGGUGUGCUGUGAGGCAUGCUGGAGGUAUCAGAAGUGCGAAUGCUGACAUAAGUAACGAUAAAGCGGGUGAAAAGCCCGCUCGCCGGAAGACCAAGGGUUCCUGUCCAACGUUAAUCGGGGCAGGGUGAGUCGACCCCUAAGGCGAGGCCGAAAGGCGUAGUCGAUGGGAAACAGGUUAAUAUUCCUGUACUUGGUGUUACUGCGAAGGGGGACGGAGAAGGCUAUGUUAGCCGGGCGACGGUUGUCCCGGUUUAAGCAUGUAGGCUGAUUGUCCAGGCAAAUCCGGAUAAUCAAGGCUGAGGUGUGAUGACGAGGCACUACGGUGCUGAAGUAACAAAUGCCCUGCUUCCGGAAAAGCCUCUAAGCAUCAGGUAACAUCAAAUCGUACCCCAAACCGACACAGGUGGUCAGGUAGAGAAUACCAAGGCGCUUGAGAGAACUCGGGUGAAGGAACUAGGCAAAAUGGUGCCGUAACUUCGGGAGAAGGCACGCUGGUGUGUAGGUGAAGUCCCUGCGGAUGGAGCUGAGACCAGUCGAAGAUACCAGCUGGCUGCAACUGUUUAUUAAAAACACAGCACUGUGCAAACACGAAAGUGGACGUAUACGGUGUGACGCCUGCCCGGUGCCGGAAGGUUAAUUGAUGGGGUUAUCCGUAAGGAGAAGCUCUUGAUCGAAGCCCCGGUAAACGGCGGCCGUAACUAUAACGGUCCUAAGGUAGCGAAAUUCCUUGUCGGGUAAGUUCCGACCUGCACGAAUGGCGUAAUGAUGGCCAGGGCUGUCUCCACCCGAGACUCAGUGAAAUUGAACUCGCUGUGAAGAUGCAGUGUACCCGCGGCAAGACGGAAAGACCCCGUGAACCUUUACUAUAGCUUGACACUGAACAUUGAGCCUUGAUGUGUAGGAUAGGUGGGAGGCUUUGAAGCGUGGACGCCAGUCUGCGUGGAGCCAACCUUGAAAUACCACCCUUUAAUGUUUGAUGUUCUAACGUUGGCCCCUGACCGGGGUUGCGGACAGUGUCUGGUGGGUAGUUUGACUGGGGCGGUCUCCUCCCAAAGCGUAACGGAGGAGCACGAAGGUUAGCUAAUCCUGGUCGGACAUCAGGAGGUUAGUGCAAUGGCAUAAGCUAGCUUGACUGCGAGCGUGACGGCGCGAGCAGGUGCGAAAGCAGGUCAUAGUGAUCCGGUGGUUCUGAAUGGAAGGGCCAUCGCUCAACGGAUAAAAGGUACUCCGGGGAUAACAGGCUGAUACCGCCCAAGAGUUCAUAUCGACGGCGGUGUUUGGCACCUCGAUGUCGGCUCAUCACAUCCUGGGGCUGAAGUAGGUCCCAAGGGUAUGGCUGUUCGCCAUUUAAAGUGGUACGCGAGCUGGGUUUAGAACGUCGUGAGACAGUUCGGUCCCUAUCUGCCGUGGGCGCUGGAGAAUUGAGGGGGCUGCUCCUAGUACGAGAGGACCGGAGUGGACGCAUCACUGGUGUUCGGGUUGUCAUGCCAAUGGCACUGCCCGGUAGCUAAAUGCGGAAGAGAUAAGUGCUGAAAGCAUCUAAGCACGAAACUUGCCCCGAGAUGAGUUCUCCCUGAGACUUUAAGUCUCCUGAAGGAACGUUGAAGACGACGACGUUGAUAGGCCGGGUGUGUAAGCGCAGCGAUGCGUUGAGCUAACCGGUACUAAUGAACCGUGAGGCUUAACCUUACAACGCCGAAG